GAGGUUUGGCACCUCGAUGUCGGCUCAUCGCAUCCUGGGGCUGUAGUCGGUCCCAAGGGUUGGGCUGUUCGCCCAUUAAAGCGGUACGCGAGCUGGGUUCAGAACGUCGUGAGACAGUUCGGUCCCUAUCCGUCGUGGGCGCAGGAAAUUUGAGAGGAGCUGUCCUUAGUACGAGAGGACCGGGAUGGACGCACCGCUGGUGUACCAGUUGUCUUGCCAAAGGCAUCGCUGGGUAGCUAUGUGCGGACGGGAUAAGUGCUGAAAGCAUCUAAGCAUGAAGCCCCCCUCAAGAUGAGAUUUCCCAUUCGUAAGAAGUAAGAUCCCUCAGAGACGAUGAGGUAGAUAGGUCUGAGGUGGAAGCGUAGCGAUACGUGGAGCUGACAGAUACUAAUCGAUCGAGGGCUUAACCA
rnacentral:rRNA from 2 species